AUUGAACGCUGGCGGCAUGCUUUACACAUGCAAGUCGAACGGUAACAGGCCGCAAGGUGCUGACGAGUGGCGAACGGGUGAGUAAUGCAUCGGAACGUGCCCAGUCGUGGGGGAUAACGCAGCGAAAGCUGCGCUAAUACCGCAUACGAUCUAUGGAUGAAAGCGGGGGACCGUAAGGCCUCGCGCGAUUGGAGCGGCCGAUGUCAGGUUAGGUAGUUGGUGGGGUAAAGGGUCACCAAGCCAACGAUCUGUAGCUGGUCUGAGAGGACGACCCGCCACAAUGGGACGGGUGCACGGCCGCGACUCCUACGGGAGGAAGCAGUGGGGGAUUUUGGACAAUGGGCGCAAGCCUGAUCCAGCAAUGCCGCGUGCAGGAAGAAGGCCUUCGGGUUGUAAACUGCUUUUGUACGGAACGAAACGGUCCUGGUUAAUACCUGGGGCUAAUGACGGUACCGUAAGAAUAAGCACCGGCUAACUACGUGCCAGCAGCCGCCGUAAGAC
rnacentral:rRNA from 1 species